rnacentral:misc_RNA from 1 species
GCUAGUUCCAAUAGCCAGUAAUCAGAAUAUCAGAUCCAUUUAUUACUCCAAAAAUACAAUAAAUUUCUUAUAGUUCUCUCGGGGAUAAAUUAUGAAAUUAACUCCCCAGAGGAUAUAUGACAAUGUUUAUAUGAUCAAGGAAAAGAAUAUAUACAUGUAUUUGUUCCCUUUUCACAGACGAAAAAAAUAAUGUUUCGACCACUGUCCAAAACAACUGCAGGCUAUCGCAUUGUGUCAUGCAUGGAGAAAAAUAAUGAGGGCCAGACAAAAAGAAAAAGGUAAAAAUGCUCGGUCCUUGAAACCAGUUUAUAGUGAUUUCUAACUUAAACCAGUCAAAGCUCUCCUGAGUUGUAAAAGCCACAACGCUAUCUGCAUUCCCAAAAGUCGUGCCUCCAGCAAGAUUUCCUCCAGCCAUACAUCUAACCAACGUAAUAAGGAUUUCCUUUGCAGCUUCUUUGCCUCAACAACUGCCUCAGAGGAAAUUUUUCCAAUAAUAAAAUAUGUCUCCAGAGAAGAUCCCUGCAACUGUUUGUCAUGCAUUACAACAAACAAAAUACCUAAUUAUUUCAUUGUCAAAUCAAAUGAUAACUAAUUUAAACAGAAGAUUAUCCAAGCCAACAUUUCAUGGACAAAGAUUUCCCAAUUGUAGUUAUACCUCAACAACAUAGUCUCUAAUCUAUUAGCAAACAUCUAUUCAUCACAUAUAUAAACUACUAUCAAAUAUCAACCCUUUCAGUAAUGCUGCUUAAUUUCACAAGAAAUGCAGUUCUAGGAUCCCAUCAUCAUUGUGCUUUAUGACUAAACAUCACCAAUCUUGAGCAUUUAUAAACCUGCAAGGGUGUUUCUCCCACGUUUGUACCCAACUAGCAAAGCGUCUGGGAUGAUAAAAGCAUAAACAAUAAAUUAUAUUCUUCAAAAAGAAGUGAUGAAGGGAUUAACUAUACCAUCUUUCUCCAUUUUCAUUCCUAGUAGGGUGGGCAGGACAAACAAAGAUGAGCAUCCAAGACAGAUUAAUUUAUAGAAAGCACACUCCAUUCAUGAUAAUAUGCAAGUCGCUAAAAAUUAAAUGGCAACAAUGAGGUUUGGCAAUGUACUAUACCAAAGAACUAUUCACUGCUCGCAAACAAUCAUUUGUCUUUAGCAUCAACAAAAUUACACGUGGUAGCCUCCUUAGAAGUUCUGAGAUUUGAGGGAAAUACUGAGAUGCAUACAUCUGUAAUUCUGAACGCUCGCUAUCAUUGCCUUGUAUGACCAAAUGAUCAACAGCUGGGUCAACAACCCUAUUCCAGGGCCUCAUAGUAAGAAUUGCCGCAAAUAGAGCAUAUAGAUCCUCUCCAGCACCCAAUUUAACACUAUUUUCCCUUAUUGAAUUAGCAUCAGCAAAUAUCAGUGCCUUCCAAAGGGAAGCAUAAUUAAAUCUAGUAUUGAAGUCAAGUUCCUUAUACAGCCCAUGGUCCAAGAGAAUCAAUUGCGGUUUUCUCUUGCCUAUGUAAAAGGCAAAACAUUAAGCAUGAGUGCUUCAGAAACCAGAUAAAUGUUAGAGAUUACAUAAGAUUUAAGGAGAAAAGCGUUGCAAGGAACAAUUUCUGUAAUAAGUAUUAACAGUCAAUGAAUAAAGAAGCUUUGAAGAGAAAUGGUUACAUGAAGAGCACGAAAAUCAUUUCUACAUUUUUCAGAUGAUAAAAAUUGCGAAAUAAAAUGCCCUGCCCUUCCAUAUGGAUAGGAAAGACAGAAGUUAGGUGAAAGAAAGCAUUGUUAUGAAAGGAAACAACAUUUUCACAAGUUUCUGUUCCUCAAGCUUGCCAUGGAAAUACUGAAGUUUUAAGUUACUCUAACAAUUCACAUUUACAGCUCAUCAGAUACUCAGCUGGCAGUUUCUAAACUAGAGUUAUAUGAGUUCAAUGCAUUGAGAUGAUAAAACAUAGGAUACUAAUGGGAUGUGUAACAUGCUUUCCUUGUAAAAUGAUGCAUAGAAAUAUUUUAAAAAUUCUAAAAUGAUCUUUUAAAGCAUGUAGAUGUUGUUAAUUAAAAUUUUCAAAUUAUUGCAUACUACUAUGCUUUCAACUAAUUGUAACAAUAUUCCUCUAUGUUUCUCCAACUAAAGCUUCCAGAGUUUGGGUCGCAAUUGACUAGAACAGAUGCACUAAAUCCCAUUAAACUUCCAAGAUGAAAUAUCAGAAGCUCCAAAACCUAUACAAUUGGUGAAGAACCACAACAAGACAAUCAAUGAAGUCAACUACCAGCCGUCAAACUUGCUCAGCAGUUUUAUCAGUAACUGUGAAGCAAAAAAAAAAAAAGAAUUGGAAUUAAAAUAAUGGGUGUCACACCACAUGAGGCCUCCUGCAAUGGGGACCCUGGAAGAGUUAUAUUCUAUGCGGCCAUCCCCAUGUGCAAGGACACUGUUUUUGCAAUUUGAACCCAUGACCUCCAAGUCAAAAUGGAGCAACCUUACUGAUGUGCCUUGGUAAGGGAAGAAACAACUCAAUAGAAUUAAAUUGACGGAAAUUCUUGACCCCCUCGUAGGCACAUCACUUACCUUACCAUUGCAGCCUCAAAAUGAAAUUUCUAGAUAAGAUGAUCAUUGGAAGUACAUGGGAGAUGCUCAAUGGCAAUUAACCAUAAAGAAGCCCUCACCUAAAAUGCUCCUUUUACCAGAAGGCAAAGGGCGAACUAACAAGUUAGCAGCAUGUGGAUCACAGUGCACAAACCCAUGUUUGAACAUCAUCUCUGCAAAAGCUUGACUAACCUGCACAAUAAAAAGUGAAAAAUAAGCAAACUUACUAUCUCAAGGAAAUGAGUCAAAAUUUGCAACUCAGAGAUUUAUUGGCUUUUGCUGAAUGCCAAUGAUACAAGUGCUAGAAAUUACCAAAAACUAUUGGAUGGGGAGUAAUUACCCAACUCCAUAGAAGCCAUGAAUGUAUACACUACACAUCAAACCAUUGUCCUAAAAUCAUGUUCCUGUCACCCAGUUAAUUAUUUCUUUCCUUCACCCAAAAGCAGCAUAAUACAAAAUGUUCAGCCAAUCACAAUAGUAGAGUAUUGGCAGUGAAGCAAAAGUAUGACAGCUCAAAUCUUGUAAGUCGCUGUCUCAUGCAAAAUGCUAAAUGUUAGAACCACGUCCAGAUUACCAAGACCCUUCUUUCAUGAUAGGGCCCUUUUCAAAGGGGUGAAAUGACCUCUGGAGGCAGCGGUAACCAUCAAACAUGCCAAUUUCCUAAUCAUUUCUUCUACCAAACAAGUAAGACAAACCUGUAAUAUCAAGGCCGUUAACUUACUAAUUUUGCAACUUCAAGAGGUUGAAUUCCAAGUCCUUCAAUAGCCUUCACAUCAUUCACUUGGGCAGCAUCCAUAAAUUCCAUUGUUAACAACUUUGAAGUACUCAAAUUCCAAUGAACCUUUGGUGCAUAGACAUAGUGUGCAAUGUGAGGGGAUAGGUUGUGAAAAUUUUCCAAACACUUCUCACUAUUCUUGGCCUCCACCAAAAAAUCCAGUUCCUUGGGUAAACUUUCGCGUAUUUCAGCAACCAACCAUCUGUAAUCAAACGAAGGAAAAAACCAAUGCAGGGUGUUCACAAUCAAUUCCACACUGGCACGAUCUGCAGCCGCAGUAUCUGUCAUGUGAGUGUGCUGAACCUGAAUAUCCAGAAAAUGAUAUGGCAAAGUUGUGCCUAAAUACACCUAAUUUGCAUUAAAUUUGAUUCCACCAAGAAAUAUGAAACCUAUUGGCUUAAAUGUAACAAAUGAAAAACCUUCACAGCAACUUUUUGGCCAUCAGUUGUCCGAGCAACAUGAACUUGAGCAAGUGAUGCACUUGCUAUUGGAACAGGAUCAAAUUCAUCAAAAAUUUUAUCUGGGGUUUCUCCAAGCUCUUGCUUGAAAACCUCACACACUUGAUCAUAUGAAGAGACUGGACAUUUGUUCAACAUUGACUCCCUCAUUGUCUGAACAUACUCCUGUGGGACUAAAUAUUCCAGUUGUCCAAUGUGUUGACCAAGCUUGAUAUAUAUUCCCCCAUUUUUGAAACAUAGUUCCUGAAGUUUAUGUGCUGACCUUCGGUGAACCUCAUGUUUGACUUUAGACCUCUCAACACUUCCUUCUGGAAGUCCCCACAGUGAAUAUUCAUAAUCAAAGGCAAUGGAGGCGGCAGUUAUGGUAUCGCGAGCGAGGCGGACGGGGACGGUGGUGCAGAUCUUGAAAGCAGUAGCUGGAUCUUCGGAAGUGGCAAUGGUGGCUGCGGCACCGCCAGUGAAAAUCGCGGUGGCUGCAACGGCAAGCUUUGCCCGGCUGCGCCAUAGAGAUCGCGUGGCCAUUCUCCCUCCUUUAUUUUCUGAAAUCGCGGCAAAUACAAGCGAACUAAA